CCUAAUACAUGCAAGUCGAGCGCCCUUUCGGGGGAGCGGCGGACGGGUGAGUAACGCGUGGGAACGUGCCCUAUGGUGCGGAACAACUGAGGGAAACUUCAGCUAAUACCGCAUGAGCGCUACGGCGGAAAGAUUUAUCGCCAUAGGAGCGGCCCGCGUUGGAUUAGCUAGUUGGUGGGGUAAUGGCUCACCAAGGCUACGAUCCAUAGCUGGUCUGAGAGGAUGAUCAGCCACACUGGGACUGAGACACGGCCCAGACUCCUACGGGAGGCAGCAGUAGGGAAUCUUGCGCAAUGGGCGAAAGCCUGACGCAGCCAUGCCGCGUGAAUGAUGAAGGUCUUAGGAUUGUAAAAUUCUUUCACCGGGGACGAUAAUGACGGUACCCGGAGAAGAACUUCNGCUAACUUCGUGCCAGCAGCCCGCGGUAAUACGAAAGGGGCUUAGCG
rnacentral:rRNA from 1 species